AGGACGAACGCUGGCGGCGUGCUUAACACAUGCAAGUCGAGGGCAUUUUGGGGGCAACCCGUGGAGUGACCGGCGAACGGGUGCGUAACACGUGAGCGACCUUGCCUCGUGGUGGGGGAUAGCCGGCCCAACGGCCGGGUAAUACCGCAUAGGGUGCUUCUCUCGCAUGGGAGAGGUAGCAAAGCCCUGGAGCAAUCCAGUGGCGCCACAGGGGGGGCUCGCGGCCUAGUCAGCUAGUUGGGGGGGUAAUGGCCCACCGAAGGCGACGACGGGUAGC
rnacentral:rRNA from 1 species